rnacentral:sRNA from 1 species
UCAAGGAUGUUGAAGCUGAAAAAUUAGCAGGAAGACAGAAAUUAGAAGGCAUCAAACAACCAAAAUUAUAUGAUGCCACUGGUGAACUUGCACCUCUUCAAGAUGCCAUAGAUCUAGAGAUGGCAACCGAAGAGGAGAAAAAAAGACUGAUAGCCUGGAAAAAAUAUCGGGUAUUAGUUAAUCGUAUAGAUACAUCAAC